GGUGACUCCUGGCUUCCUCAGGGUGAUACAGAACUAUUUAGAUUGUCAAUCCCUAGGAUAUGGGUAUAUUUGCUUUCCUUUUGUCUUGAGAUCUAGCCCACAGUGGGAGGUGUUUGUCUCCUCCAAGGUUGCAAGGAGAGGUCAGCUGCAGUACCAUGUGGACAUCGCUACAGCCACAUGAGAGCCCCUGUGGAGAGGAGCUGAGUCCCUGGACAAGAGUCCGAAACCAACUUGCUAGUCAGGUUAAUGAGCCUUCCUGGAAGUGGAUUCUCCUGCCCACAAGGAGCCGUCAGAUGACUGCCUCCAGCUGACAUGCAAUUGCAAAGUCAGGAGAACCCUGACCCAGAACUGACCAUCUGAGACCUCCCCAAAUUUCUGACAACAGAACCAUGAGGGAGGCUGAUCAGAAACAACAUCCAGUUCCACAAAAUUCAGCCAAAAGGGAAUUGGAUUUCCUGAGAUAGAAAAACCCACAAGCCCUGAGACAGUGGAGAAGGAGCUUCUCUUGGUGGAUCAUAAGCCAGUUAUUUCCUGGUUUAAAUUAAUGCUUCAUCACAGCAUCAUCAGAGGCAGAAGAUGAGACUCUAAUUUCCUCCCGGGAGGUCCUUCGCCCCGUCUUAUUCUUAUGCGUUGCAGUUCCUCCGGCGUCCUCCACCAUGAAAUGACUUGAAGCCAAUUAAGAGCCUUCUGCUUCCUCAUCAGUGAUAUUUAUGACUAUGGGAAUAUUUAUGAUGCAUGGAGAGGCCUUGGGCCAGGGAGGAGGCUGAGCUUUUGCUGUCCUUGUAAAUGGGAUUUGUCUCCUUGCUUUUGCCAGGGUUGUAAAAGGGAGAACGAGGAUCAUAUAGUUCAGGGUUGCUCUUUUUUUCUUUCUUUUCUUUCUAGCUAACCUUUGCAUUCAGGCUGUAGAUUAAUCGGUAAUAAACUCUUUUUUAUUACUGACCUCCAGUUAGGAAUGAAGGUGGCAUUUUGCUUUUCUGAAUACUUUGGUUGUCUUGCCUUUUUUUUUCUAAAUCUGCCCUCAAUUGCCCUAUCCAGGUUAGAGCUAUAACAUGCUGGAGGAUGUUUAUAACCGAGUAACAGAAGUCUAUGCAUUCAGUAAGAAGCUCACGAGCUUCUGGAAGCCACCUAAAUGCUUCUUCAUAAAAAAGGAAGGACCACAGGUAUUUUCUUUUGGGAAAAAUUGUGGAGGACACCAUCACCUCAAACAUGCUCUCUACUGUCCCUAGCUGCUACCAUUCUUGACUCCAGGAAUCUCCCUUCUACUUUUGGAGCCUCAGUCUCCACUUGGGCUUGGGAUCCCAUCCUCUUCUCCCCAGGCCCAGCGCACACCUUCAAAUCCUCCCUCGCAAAGCCUUCUUCAGGGCUUGCUGUGGACUGGCAGCAGAGCACUUGCCUAGCUUGCACAUGCCUUGGUAUCAAA